rnacentral:rRNA from 1 species
AUUGAACGCUGGCGGCAUGCCUUACACAUGCAAGUCGAACGGUAACAGGUCUUCGGAUGCUGACGAGUGGCGAACGGGUGAGUAAUACAUCGGAACGUGCCCGAUCGUGGGGGAUAACGGAGCGAAAGCUUUGCUAAUACCGCAUACGAUCUACGGAUGAAAGCAGGGGACCGCAAGGCCUUGCGCGGACGGAGCGGCCGAUGGCAGAUAGGUAGUUGGUGGGAUAAAAGCUUACCAAGCCGACGAUCUGUAGCUGGUCUGAGAGGACGACCAGCCACACUGGGACUGAGACACGGCCCAGACUCCUACGGGAGGCAGCAGUGGGGAAUUUUGGACAAUGGGCGAAAGCCUGAUCCAGCCAUGCCGCGUGCAGGAUGAAGGCCUUCGGGUUGUAAACUGCUUUUGUACGGAACGAAAAGCCUCUUUCUAAUAAAGAGAGGUCAUGACGGUACCGUAAGAAUAAGCACCGGCUAACUACGUGCCAGCAGCCGCCGUAAUAC